GCUGACACAUUCCAGCCAAUCAGCAGCAGACCCUCCCUCCCAGACCCUCCCACCUCCUGGACAGCAUCCAUUGUGAAGCUGCAUUCUUAGUGAGCUGUCCAGGAGGUGGGAGGGUCUGGGAGGGAGGGUCUGCUGCUGAUUGGCUGGAAUGUGUCUG